rnacentral:rRNA from 1 species
CGAAGGGGGCUAGCGUUGUUCGGAAUUACUGGGCGUAAAGCGCGUGUAGGCGGUUGCCAAAGUCGGGUGUGAAAGCCUUGAGCUCAACUCAAGAAUUGCACUCGAUACUUGGUGACUAGAGGACCGGAGAGGAUAGUGGAAUUCCCAGUGUAGUGGUGAAAUACGUAGAGAUUGGGAAGAACACCAGUGGCGAAGGCGGCUAUCUGGACGGUUUCUGAUGCUAAGACGCGAAAGCGUGGGGAGCAAACAGGAUUAGAUACCCUGGUAGUCCACGCCGUAAACGAUGGGUGCUAGACGUUGGCGAGCUUGCUCGUCAGUGUCGCAGCUAACGCGUUAAGCACCCCGCCUGGGGAGUACGGCCGCAAGGUUG